CGCAUCUGUGCAUGCAGCAUAUCAAUAAGCGGAGGAAAAGAAACUAACAAGGAUUCCCCUAGUAACGGCGAGUGAAGCGGGAAGAGCUCAAAUUUGAAAUCUUAAAGGGUUUCCCUUUACGAAUUGUAGUUUAAAGAAGUGUUUUCUGUUGAGGUUUUGGUAAAAGUUCUUUGGAAUAGGACAUCAUAGAGGGUGAGAAUCCCGUAUUUGACCUUUACUUUCAACUUUGUGAUACACUUUCAAAGAGUCGGAUUGUUUGGGAAUGCAGUCCAAAAUGGGUGGUAAAUUUCAUCUAAAGCUAAAUAUUGGCGAGAGACCGAUAGCGAACAAGUACCGUGAGGGAAAGAUGAAAAGAACUUUGAAAAGAGAGUUAAACAGUACGUGGAAAUUGUCAAAAGGGAAGCGUUUGACACCAGUGUUGUUUUUCUGAAAAUCAAUUAAAGAACUGUUUAUGCUAAGUUGUUUAGACUUUAUCAGCUAACUGUUUAGUUUUGAGCUUUUCUUUAAUGCACUUUUCAGUUAACAAGUCAACAUCAAUUUCUUUUGCUGUAAAAAAGCUUGAGGAAGGUGGCUUGAGAUUCGUCUUAAGUGUUUAUAGCCUCUUGCCUAUGCAGUCGGAGAGAUUGAGGUCUGCAGCGUAGAUCCUUCGGGGUUAAAUGCAUUUGUGCUAAGUUAUAGCAUUUUAUAGACAACUUGUUGACUAUGAUUUGUCUUGUAGCUUACUCGCUUAUGUUAUUUUACCUACGCUUAGGAUGUUGACAGCAGUAUAGACUGU
rnacentral:rRNA from 1 species